AUGAACGCUGGCGGCGUGCCUAAUACAUGCAAGUCGAGCGAACGGACGAGAAGCUUGCUUCUCUGAUGUUAGCGGCGGACGGGUGAGGAACACGUGGAUAACCUACCUAUAAGACUGGGAUAACUUCGGGAAACCGGAGCUAAUACCGGAUAAUAUUUUGAACCGCAUGGUUCAAAAGUGAAAGACGGUCUUGCUGUCACUUAUAGAUGGAUCCGCGCUGCAUUAGCUAGUUGGUAAGGUAACGGCUUACCAAGGCAACGAUGCAUAGCCGACCUGAGAGGGUGAUCGGCCACACUGGAACUGAGACACGGUCCAGACUCCUACGGGAGGCAGCAGUAGGGAAUCUUCCGCAAUGGGCGAAAGCCUGACGGAGCAACGCCGCGUGAGUGAUGAAGGUCUUCGGAUCGUAAAACUCUGUUAUUAGGGAAGAACAUAUGUGUAAGUAACUGUGCACAUCUUGACGGUACCUAAUCAGAAAGCCACGGCUAACUACGUG
rnacentral:rRNA from 1 species